AGAUGAUAAAGAACAGUGGGAGGGAAGGGGCCAUGGUAGUUCACAGCUGUAGUUCUAGCACUUGGAAGGCUGAGGCAGGUGCACUGUUCUGAAUUCCAGGCCAUUUGGUCACAUAAUGAGUUCCAGAAUACGGUGGCCUAAAUAAGAAUGGCCUAUACAGGCUCAUGUAUUUGAAUGUUUAGUCAUCAGAGAGUGGCAUUACUGGAGAAGGAUUGGGCGCCAUGGCCUUGUUUGACUGCCAGCUCCUACUCUGUCCCCAUGUAGAGUCCCUGAGGCACACAGGCUCCAGAACGUGUCCCUGAGCAUCUCCACCAGAGCCUAACUGGACUUUCAUUCUCAACCCCAGGGAAAGAUGGGUCAAGGCAGGUUUCAGCUGGAGAAUGGAGACUGUGCUCUACAGCAGGUUCUUCUCUGCUUGGUAAGAAAAACUGUUUACCCCCUACAAACCCUACAAAGGUCCAAAGAGGAGUGUUUUGCUGGCA